UUAAAGAGACAGGCAUUGAACCUGUACUAAAGAGAUCAAAACUC
rnacentral:tRNA from 1 species